rnacentral:rRNA from 1 species
GAUGAACGCUGGCGGCGUGCCUAAUACAUGCAAGUCGAGCGAACAGACGAGGAGCUUGCUCCUUUGACGUUAGCGGCGGACGGGUGAGUAACACGUGGGUAACCUACCUAUAAGACUGGGAUAACUUCGGGAAACCGGAGCUAAUACCGGAUAAUAUUUCGAACCGCAUGGUUCGAUAGUGAAAGAUGGCUUUGCUAUCACUUAUAGAUGGACCUGCGCCGUAUUAGCUAGUUGGUAAGGUAACGGCUUACCAAGGCAACGAUACGUAGCCGACCUGAGAGGGUGAUCGGCCACACUGGAACUGAGACACGGUCCAGACUCCUACGGGAGGCAGCAGUAGGGAAUCUUCCGCAAUGGGCGAAAGCCUGACGGAGCAACACCGCGUGAGUGAUGAAGGUCUUCGGAUCGUAAAACUCUGUUAUUAGGGAAGAACAAACGUGUAAGUAACUGUGCACGUCUUGACGGUACCUAAUCAGAAAGCCACGGCUAACUACGUG